AAAGCGUGCGCAGGCGGUUAUAUAAGACAGAUGUGAAAUCCCCGGGCUCAACCUGGGAACUGCAUUUGUGACUGUAUAGCUGGAGUGCGGCAGAGGGGGAUGGAAUUCCGCGUGUAGCAGUGAAAUGCGUAGAUAUGUGGAGGAACACCGAUGGCGAAGGCAGCCCCCUGGGUCAAAACUGACGCUCAUGCACGAAAGCGUGGGGAGCAAACAGGAUUAGAUACCCUGGU
rnacentral:rRNA from 1 species